GGAAUGAGUCGCUGGGGGCUUGAGGGGAGGGGUCAAUGUUAAGUGGCUGGCCCCUAGCAGGUGCCUGGAGGCGAGCCUAGUGCAGGAAGUACCCCCUGGGGGGAGGGGGGAAGCUGUGGGCUGGGAAAGGACAAAUGGAAAACGGAAUUAGGGGCCAGACUCUGAGGCAAGGUGAUGGGGAGACACAGAAGGAGGGGCAGUCCGUUUGGGGGAAGAAAUUGGGGCUGGAGAGGGGAGAGGUUGAAGUGAGUUGUGGAUCACACAGGAUAGGUGUUGUGUAUUGUGAGUGAGUGUAUGGGCGGGGGUUCUCUGGAGUUGGGGGAGUGGGGGGAGAUGCAGCGGGACCAGGAAGAGACUGUGGGGUGGGAAGGAAGCGUGCUGAAUGGAAAGGGGGAAAGGGAAAUUUGGGCUCAAGCCAUCCCAGACCAGAGCCAUGUUCCUUGUGCAGCUCUGAACUCCUCUCUGCCUCAUUUCUUUAACCCUGGGGUCAGAGCGUGCUGCUCCCUUUGCCCAUGGUUUCUCCUUUCCUGGUGCAGCGGAGUUCACACUAGCCAGUGUUCUGGUAGAUGGAAAGGUUGCCACUGCCCCACCUCUCCUGGGCCUCCCUCAUCUUAGCUGGGUUUCCCCCUUCUUCACAUUUUGCCCUUCCUAGUUAGUUGGAGUCUGGUUCCUAGGUAAUGCCAGCCGUAGCUGAGGGCCCAGGGGAGCAGGUGGCUGUGCAAAGCCACUUGCAGGCUGUGGACAAAGGGCUGAGACGUGGAAAACCUACCAGUGCCCAUUCCGGCUUUGGCCUGGCUGGGGCAGCCUUGGGUCAAGUCCUCUCUGUAGUCCUGGUUUCCACCAACAUCAGGAAGGGGAGCUGCAAGAGCCAUCUAGGCAGGCACCCCAGGACUGUGCCAGGAAGACCUGGGUUAAGCCCUGCCUCCAUCAAUCUCAAGAUAUGGGACCUCAGGGAAGGGAGGGGAGGUACCGCCAAGGAUGUGUGCACCUGAGCUAUCACCUCAGUUCCUCAUCUGCAAGUCUUUGAUACCCUGGACUCAAAUGGUUUGGAGCUCGGGCUGGGCUCAGAGCGAUUCUUCAGUUAGGAAGUUAACAGCAGGAUUUACUGAAGUAAGCUGCCAGAACUGCUGGGCCUGACAUUGUACCAUUUCAGUUUGGUUUCAUUUUCCUCCACAGCUGGCUCCUGCAAUAACCCUCUAGCUUUCAAACCAGUGUUUUUUACGUCUGGUCACUGAAACCUACAUUUAGCAACGCGGCCUCCAGAGGCCCAAACUAAUAGAAUUGGAGGAAAAAAACAAAAAACAAAACAAAACAAAAAACUGGCCAGUCUAUGUGCUGUCAACACUGAUGCCACUCUUCCUCCAGGAGCCAGUUCUCCCUAUGGGGCAGUCAGGUUUGCACCUGGCUUUUGGGAAUCAGCAGUCCCCUCGACGGAGCAUCAGCUAACAGGCUGGGAACUCUUGCCAACAAGUUCUUAAACGGCUAACAAUUCUGCUAAGAGCUUGCAUGUAUCUAGCUGGUGCUCAAAG